AUGGAGAGGGAUGUGGUCGAGUGUGAUCCGUCGAUGACUGCUCCCGUUGACGACGGGGAUCCGUGGAUGACGGUUCCGCUCGAGGAGGGUGGCGACAUCACGCUGCUGCUGAUGCAGACGCCGAAGCCGGCGCCGGCGCCGGUGGAGGGCGGCGAUCCCGUUCAAGCCUUGUUCGACACCCUCGUAGGAGAAGAAGCCAAGCCAUGGCCGACGUCCGAGGAAGUGUUCCGGGAGCUGUUCGGCGAGCCGUGGUGGCCAACCAAGGAAUUGCUCCGGCAAAAGUUGCUGGAUGUCUCUCCGCCCGGAUCCAUUCCGGAGUACUCUGUGCUGUUAUCGGAUUGA
rnacentral:rRNA from 1 species